rnacentral:antisense_RNA from 1 species
UUUUAUGGCGGCUAUGCGCGGGAGACCUUCGGGUCUGCCGGUUCUCUAUUGCCGGUUCGCCAACCUGCGUACAGCUGUCACCCUU